rnacentral:rRNA from 1 species
UUCGGGACUGCGAGACAGGUGCUGCAUGGCUGUCUCAGCUCGUGUCGUGAGAUGUUGGGUUAAGUCCCGCAACGAGCGCAACCCUUGUCCUUAGUUGCCAUCAUUUAAUGGGGGGAACUCUAAGGAGACUGCCGGUGACAAACCGGAAGAAGGGGGGGAUGACCUCAAGUCAUCAUGCCCCUUACGGCCGGGGCUACACACGUACUACAAUGGUGGGGACAGAGGGUCGCGAAGCCGCGAGGAGGAGCCAAUCCCAAAAACCCCUUCCUACUCAUGAUCGUAUUCUGCACCUCUACUCCAUGAAGUCGGAAUCACUAAUAAUCGCACAUCAUCCUUGCUGGGGUAAAUACCUUCCCGGGUCUUGUACACACCG